rnacentral:rRNA from 1 species
GUGAAACUGCGAAUGGCUCAUUAAAUCAGUUAUCGUUUAUUUGAUAGUACCUUACUACUUGGAUACCUGUGGUAAUUCUAGAGCUAAUACAUGCUAAAAACUUCGACUUCGGAAGGGGUGUAUUUAUUAGAUAAAAAACCAAUGCCCUUCGGGGCUCCUUGGUGAUUCAUAAUAACUCAACGAAUCGCAUGGCCUUGCGCCGGCGAUGGUUCAUUCAAAUUUCUGCCCUAUCAACUUUCGAUGGUAGUAUAGAGGACUACCAUGGUUUCUACGGGUAACGGGGAAUUAGGGUUCUAUUCCGGAGAGGGAGCCUGAGAAACGGCUACCACAUCCAAGGAAGGCAGCAGGCGCGCAAAUUACCCAAUCCCGACACGGGGAGGUAGUGACAAUAAAUACUGAUCCAGGGCUCUUUUGGGUCUUGGAAUUGGAAUGAGUACAAUUUAAAUCCCUUAACGAGGAACAAUUGGAGGGCAAGUCUGGUGCCAGCAGCCGCGGUAAUUCCAGCUCCAAUAGCGUAUAUUAAAGUUGUUGCAGUUAAAAAGCUCGUAGUUGAAACUUGGGUCUGGCUGACCGGUCCGCCUCACCGCGUGCACUGGCUUGGCCGGACCUUUCCUUCUGGGGAACCGCAUGGCCUUCAUUGGUCGUGUUGGGGAUCCAGAACUUUUACUUUGAAAAAAUUAGAGUGUUCAAAGCAGGCCUAUGCUCGAAUACAUUAGCAUGGAAUAAUAGAAUAGGACGUGUGGUUCUAUUUUGUUGGUUUCUAGGACCGCCGUAAUGAUUAAUAG